CCACAGAAAUACAGAUGCAAAAGCAGGACUCGGAAAAAUGAGAGAAGAUAAGGUAUUGUUCCUGCAAGCAGAACAUCCUGUCUUGGAGAUGGAUUUAACUCCUAAUGGCUCCACGGGGCCCUGUCUACACUAGGGACAUUGACUAAGGAUUUCCCAGUGCCGCACGCACUUCUCCAGCUCCAGCAGUAUGGCAGAGCAGAGAACUCCCAUUCAUGCUUUUAGUCCUUUAGGCUGUUCC
rnacentral:lncRNA from 1 species